rnacentral:rRNA from 1 species
UACGGGGGGGGCAAGCGUUGUUCGGAUUUACUGGGCGUAAAGGGCGCGUAGGCGGCCAGCUCAGUUCAGUUGUGGAAUCUCCGAGCUUAACUCGGAAAGGUCAACUGAUACUGUGCGGCUAGAGUGCGGAAGGGGCAACUGGAAUUCUUGGUGUAGCGGUGAAAUGCGUAGAUAUCAAGAGGAACACCUGCGGCGAAGGCGGGUUGCUGGGCCGACACUGACGCUGAGGCGCGAAAGCCAGGGGAGCGAACGGG